rnacentral:lncRNA from 1 species
CUAGAGGUUCGGGCCGAGAAGAGGAGCGAAAGCACAGAGCCGACUUCCCCUCACCCAUCUGGGAAAUGGGCUCGGGCCAACUGCUGACUUCGCGCUCGCUGGCGCAGCUCCCUGCGGAGACCUCGGCGGGGAGGGAGGCUGAACAUCUGGAUGACAUUUCUGCGAGAGCGGCUCCGGAGCGGCGGUCGGGGAGGGAGAGAGAAGCAGGGGACAGAAGCAAUGGCCGAGGCAGAAGACAAGCCGAGGUGCUGGUGACCCUGGGCGUCUGAGUGGAUGAUUGGGGCUGCUGCGCUCAGAGGCCUGCCUCCCUGCCUUCCAAUGCAUAUAACCCCACACCCCAGCCAAUGAAGACGAGAGGCAGCGUGAACAAAGUCAUUUAGAAAGCCCCCGAGGAAGUGUAAACAAAAGAGAAAGCAUGAAUGGAGUGCCUGAGAGACAAGUGUGUCCUGUACUGCCCCCACCUUUAGCUGGGCCAGCAACUGCCCGGCCCUGCUUCUCCCCACCUACUCACUGGUGAUCUUUUUUUUUUUACUUUUUUUUCCCUUUUCUUUUCCAUUCUCUUUUCUUAUUUUCUUUCAAGGCAAGGCAAGGAUUUUGAUUUUGGGACCCAGCCAUGGUCCUUCUGCUUCUUCUUUAAAAUACCCACUUUCUCCCCAUCGCCAAGCGGCGUUUGGCAAUAUCAGAUAUCCACUCUAUUUAUUUUUACCUAAGGAAAA